rnacentral:rRNA from 1 species
UACAGAGGUCCCGAGCGUUGUUCGGAUUUAUUGGGCGUAAAGAGCGUGUAGGCGGCCUUAAAGGUCAGCUGUGAAAACUCGAGGCUCAACCUCGAGAGGUCGGUUGAAACCGUAAGGCUAGAGUCCGGAAGAGGAGAGUGGAAUUCCCGGUGUAGCGGUGAAAUGCGCAGAUAUCGGGAAGAACACCCGUGGCGAAGGCGGCUCUCUGGGACGGUACUGACGCUGAGACGCGAAAGCGUGGGGAGCGAACAGG